rnacentral:miRNA from 11 species
UGAAAGACCCCCGAAGGGAGACCCUCACUCAAAUCUUGGGAAUAGCGCACACCCAGUGAAGCACCAAGACUG